CAAGGCUUGACAUGGACCGGACCGGGCUGGAAACAGUCCUUCCCCUUUGGGGCCGGUUCACAGGUGGUGCAUGGUUGUCGUCAGCUCGUGUCGUGAGAUGUUGGGUUAAGUCCCGCAACGAGCGCAACCCUCGUUCCAUGUUGCCAGCGCGUAAUGGCGGGGACUCAUGGGAGACUGCCGGGGUCAACUCGGAGGAAGGUGGGGACGACGUCAAAUCAUCAUGCCCCUUAUGUCUUGGGCUUCACGCAUGCUACAAUGGCCGGUACAAAGGGUUGCGAUACUGUGAGGUGGAGCUAAUCCCAAAAAGCCGGUCUCAGUUCGGAUUGGGGUCUGCAACUCGACCCCAUGAAGUCGGAGUCGCUAGUAAUCGCAGAUCAGCAACGCUGCGGUGAAUACGUUCCC
rnacentral:rRNA from 2 species